UACGGGGGGGGCAAGCGUUGUUCGGAAUUACUGGGCGUAAAGGGCUCGUAGGCGGCCAACUAAGUCAGACGUGAAAUCCCUCGGCUUAACCGGGGAACUGCGUCUGAUACUGGAUGGCUCGAGUUUGGGAGAGGGAUGCGGAAUUCCAGGUGUAGCGGUGAAAUGCGUAGAGAUGUGGAGGAACACCAGUGGCGAAGGCGACUCUUUGGUCUGUAACUGACGCUGAGGCGCGAAAGCGUGGGGAGCAAACAGG
rnacentral:rRNA from 1 species